rnacentral:rRNA from 1 species
CCUAAAGCAUCCGUAGCCGGUUGCAUAAGUUUUCGGUUAAAUCUAUGCGCUUAACGUAUAGGCCGCCGAAAAUACUGUGCAGCUAGGGAGUGGGAGAGGUACACGGUACUCGAUAGGAAGGGGUAAAAUCCUUUGAUCUAUUGAUGACCACCUGUGGCGAAGGCGGUGUACCAGAACACGUUCGACGGUGAGGGAUGAAAGCUGGGGGAGCAAACCGGAUUAGAUACCCGGGUAGUCCCAGCUGUAAACGAUGCAGACUCGGUGAUGCAUUGGCUUGUGGCNNNNNCAGNNNNNCAGGGAAGCCGUUAAGUCUGCCGCCUGGGAAGUACGUACGCAAGUAUGAAACUUAAAGGAAUUGGCGGGGGAGCACCACAAGGGGUGAAGCCUGCGGUUCAAUUGGAGUCAACGCCAGAAAUCNUNCCUGGGGAGACAGCAGAAUNAAGGUCAAGCUGAAGACUUUACCAGACACGCUGAGAGGUGGUG